UACGGAGGGUGCAAGCGUUAUCCGGAUUUACUGGGUUUAAAGGGUGCGUAGGCGGCGUAGUAAGUCCGUGGUGAAAGCCAACAGCUCAACUGUUGAACUGCCAUGGAUACUGCUAGGCUUGAGUACAGACGAGGUAGGCGGAAUGGAUAGUGUAGCGGUGAAAUGCAUAGAUACUAUCCAGAACACCGAUUGCGAAGGCAGCUUACUAGACUGUAACUGACGCUGAGGCACGAAAGCGUGGGGAGCGAACAGG
rnacentral:rRNA from 1 species